AUCACAUCCUGGGGCUGUAGUCGGUCCCAAGGGUAUGGCUGUUCGCCAUUUAAAGUGGUACGUGAGCUGGGUUUAAAACGUCGUGAGACAGUUUGGUCCCUAUCUGCCGUGGGCGCUGGAAAUUUGAAGGGGGCUGCUCCUAGUACGAGAGGACCGGAGUGGACGAACCUCUGGUGUACCGGUUAUGACGCCAGUCGUAUCGCCGGGUAGCUAUGUUCGGAAGAGAUAAACGCUGAAAGCAUCUAAGCGUGAAACUCGCCUUAAGAUGAGAUUUCCCCGGGGACUUGAUCCCCCUGAAGGGUCGUGGUAGACCACCACGUUGAUAGGCUGGGUGUGGAAGCGCAGCAAUGCGUUCAGCUAACCAGUACUAAUUGCCCGUGAGGCUUGAUCCUAUAACCUUGAGCAG
rnacentral:rRNA from 1 species